rnacentral:SRP_RNA from 2 species
GCUGGGCGUGGUGGCGCAUGCCUGUAAUCCCAGCUACUCUGGAGGCUGAGGCAGGAGAAUAGCUCGAACCAGGGAGCUGGAGGUUGCAGUGAGCCGAGAUUACGCCACUGCACUCCAUCCUGGCAACAGAGCAAGACUCUGUCUCAA